rnacentral:rRNA from 1 species
UACGUAGGGGGCAAGCGUUGUUCGGAAUUACUGGGCGUAAAGCGCGUGUAGGCGGUCUGGUAAGUCGGAAGUGAAAUCCCUCGGCUCAACCGGGGAACUGCUUUCGAUACUGCCAGACUUGAGUGCGGGAGGGGAGAGCAGAAUUCCCGGUGUAGCGGUGAAAUGCGUAGAUAUCGGGAGGAAUACCGGUGGCGAAGGCGGCUCUCUGGACCGUGACUGACGCUGAGACGCGAAAGCGUGGGGAU